GGGAGCUUCCUAAACCGGAACUGUGCUUGUGCGCUCUGUUUCGUUCCCUUGGUCUCCCAAGACUUAGAGGAAAACAUCAGUGCAAGGAACCCAAGGCUUGCUUUUCUGGACUCAUGAAUUUUUUUUCCUGGAAGGAGCUAUAAUCUGUGCUUUAAAAAAAAUAUGGGAAGUUUAUUAAAGAGAAACAUUGACUGAAACCAUUGAACAGAGAGCAUGAUAACACAGAGAGGAACUUCUAAUGGCCACUGGAGCCAACGGGUCCCACCACCCCCUCCCAGGGUCCCCAACAAGGUGCCUCUGCUACACCCCACCCGGCGGCCCUCCAUCCCCCCACAGUCUCCCUUCCUGAGGGCCCCGCGGGUGGCCUCUCGCCAGGACGAUGGGUGCCGGCAAUGCCUGCUCCCCCCGGGGCAGCCCCUCCCCCUCUGGCCCACAUGCCCAGGGCCUGGCCCUGCCCUAUGGCAGGCACAGGACAGUCCCACAGCAGGACAUGCACCACUGAGCCAACGGCGUGGUGUCCCAAGGAACAACAGGGUGGCUGUUAAUUGUACUGCUAAUUACUUUCACAUUUCCAAGUAAAUUCCUAUUCCAGUGCUGUGUUAUCUAGUUUGGGAUCGCAAAGUAUGAUGGAAUGUUUCCCAAUUGAUUUUACAAAUAGCAAAAUUCAGUCUU